AGAACAAAUUGGAUACGGCUUUAUAAUAAAUAUGCUUUUGUCACCAUCAGCUAAAAUGCAGUAUGUUGGAGGUGAAGCUGUCAUAGCUCUAAGUAAGGACAGCAGGAUGCAUCAAAAUCAAAUAUGUGAAGGGAAUGGAAUUGCACCAUUGGUUCGCUUACUAAGAAUUAGUACGAUCGCUGAAGGCACACUUCUCAGUGUCAUCAGAGCAGUGGGAUCCAUUUGUAUUGGGAAUUUAAUAGCAAGCCUGGCUCAUUCUAGAGCUGGUAUCCCAGAAGCAUUUACCACAUUAGGAACAAUCCAACGGCUCUGCUAUCAUUUGUACUCAGGAAUAGAAGAGUCUGGAGAAGAAUGGAGGACCAUCCAUAAUUCCUAUCUUUAAAAGAGGGAAGGAGCACCGAAGAAAAUUAAAACCUAAAAUUCAACCAAAAGAUUCUUUGACUUUAUUACCUCCUGUAACUAACUUCAUGGGACUCUUCAAAGCAACAAAAAAGACCAAGGAUUCCCAUAAUAUUUUUUCUUUUUCAUCUACAAUUACAUCAGAUAUCACAAAAGUAUCAAGACCAAGAAUAGUGUGUUUAAACCAACUUGGGAAACAUGUCCAGAAAGCCAACCCAGAGCCUGCAGAAGGCUAAUAAAACAUUUUAGAAUGAAAGGA
rnacentral:sRNA from 1 species